UGAAUACAUAUUUUAGCUUGCAGGAGGAUGAUCUGAAUGCAGGAAAGCUGCCGUGUUCCUUCUCUCAGUCAAGACCAAAGGUUUCUUCGACUCCAAACCACAGCCACGUCUCCAUCAUACAGACCAUCCUUUGCAACUUCAGCUUGUGUCAAACAUCCCCUUUGGCAAAACAGCUCUUGCAAUGGAGCUAUCUCCACGUGUCUGCCUUCCACCACCCACGAGACACUGACCUCCAUCGGUCCCCAGCCCUGCUGCAAGAUAGCACCAAGGUGGUCUGCAAAAGGAAGUUGGGUAUCCACCAGGACAGCUGUGUGGGUUGGGCCAGACCUGCAAGGAGUUUAUCUGCGUUGCUCCAUUCCUAAUUGCCAUCCCGACCCUUUGGGCCGAUUUCCAACUGCUUCACGAGACAAGUCAAUGAGACAGAGCUCCUAAUAAACCUGCAUUCAUCAAUGCCUUGUUUUACUCUCUUUCAUCUCUAACUACCAUCCAAUCACUUGGACAACUGGUGCUUCUGAGCUUGCAAUUAGACCCAUGCUUUCUACUGCUGAUGAAGGAAGAUUAAUUAAAUCAGUGCUUUUCAAGGCUAGAACGAAUGAGGGAACAUUUUUGGCAUUUUUAUCCUUGCUUUAAACCUGUAGCCUAUUAAUUUAAGACACCUGGCACAGAACUAACAUUUUGCCCUGAUAGAAAACAAUAAACUGAGAUUU
rnacentral:lncRNA from 7 species